UUACUGUUUGAGUAUUCACUGCCCUAACUACAUUCUUUUACAUACUCUUGCAAAGCUCUAGCACCUUUAAGGAAAUACAUGAUCCUUCUUUUGCGCUAGGUUGACAUCCUGGUAAAAAUUCUUUUGUGACAUACACGUAUUUUAGGUAUAAUAUUCAAUCAUAUGGAUAUAUUGAAGUUUAAUAAAUCCCCUAACAUCAGAUAUUUAAAAGUUUCCUACUUUUUAUUAUGAAUUAUGCUGCAAUGAAUAUUUUUGCACAUAUGUAUGUCUUUAUGUAUGUCUCCAAUAAUUUCCUAAGGAUAUAUUUCUACAAGUGGGAGUGCUAUGUCAAAGGGUGUGCAUAUUAAGGUUUUUGCAAUUGGCUGCCAAAUUGCUCUCUGGAAAGGCUCCACUGGUCUGCUUUUCCUUCCAUCAGCCACAGCCGGGAAUGCCUGCUUCUCGCCAUGGUCACCAGCACUGCGUCCUUGCUUCCUUUGGAAUCUUUACAGAUUUUAAUUACCCCCAAAAUCAUAUCUUACUGAAGUUUUAGUUUUCACGUCUUUGCUUCCCAUCGAGGCUGAGCUUUUAAAUAAAUUUUUGGCAGUGCAAAUUUCUUUUGCUAGCUGCCUAUUUUGUCACCAUAUUAUUUUCAAAUU
rnacentral:lncRNA from 1 species